rnacentral:rRNA from 1 species
CCUACGGGCGGCAGCAGUGAGGAAUAUUGGUCAAUGGACGAGAGUCUGAACCAGCCAAGUAGCGUGAAGGAUGACUGCCCUAUGGGUUGUAAACUUCUUUUAUAUGGGAAUAAAAUGUUCCACGUGUGGGAUUUUGUAUGUACCAUAUGAAUAAGGAUCGGCUAACUCCGUGCCAGCAGCCGCGGUAAUACGGAGGAUCCGAGCGUUAUCCGGAUUUAUUGGGGUUAAAGGGAGCGUAGGUGGAUUGUUAAGUCAGUUGUGAAAGUUUGCGGCUCAACCGUAAAAUUGCAGUUGACACUGGCAGUCUUGAGUACAGUAGAGGUGGGCGGAAUUCGUGGUGUAGCGGUGAAAUGCUUAGAUAUCACGAAGAACUCCGAUUGCGAAGGCAGUUCACUGGACUGCAACUGACACUGAGGCUCGAAAGUGUGGGUAUCAAACAGGAUUAGAUACCCUAGUAGUC